CUAAGAAAAAGCCAAACCUGACGUGAGUCAGGGACGGAAAGCCUACGGGUCUCAUGGGGAGACGGCCGGGUUGCUCUU
rnacentral:ncRNA from 1 species